rnacentral:lncRNA from 1 species
GUUUCAAGAGACCUUCAAAAGACAUCCAUGAUCAUCAGUUCGUGGUGUAGAUCGACCCAUGCCAAGGUAUGAAGAUUAGAUCUUCUCUAUUUAUUUUUUUCUAUUUGAUUUCUGUAUCUAAAUCUUAUCUCACAUAUGUAGGUUUUGUUUAUAGUUUUAAAAUUUGAUCUUAUAUAUGCUUAAAUUAAAUUAGAUUUAAUUUAAAUUUUAAAUUUUUCUGUAUACUCAUUUUGAAAAUUUUUUUGCAUGCAUGAAAUCAUGAAGUCCCAACAGUAGUA